GAAAGGAACAGUGCUCUUGGGGAGGAUGAUAAUAGGUCCAUAAAGGGUAGACCUCAGCCAUGAGAUAUGGGCAUGCCACAAAAGGGUCCCUCUCUGUCCAGUAAUAGUGAAGUUAUACACAUAAGAUUGGCCUCUUUGAAUAGGGCACUG